ACUCCUACGGGAGGCAGCAGUAAGGAAUAUUGCGCAAUGGGCGAAAGCCUGACGCAGCGACGCCGCGUGGGGGAUGAAGGUCUUCGGAUUGUAAACCCCUUUCGGGAGGGAAGAUGGAGCGAGCUAUCGUUCGGACGGUACCUCCAGAAGCAGCCACGGCCAACUUCGUGCCAGCAGCCGCGGUAAUACGAAGGUGGCAAGCGUUGUUCGGAUUCACUGGGCGUACAGGGUGUGUAGGCGGUUUGGUAAGCCUUCUGUUAAAGCUUCGGGCCCAACCCGGAAAGCGCAGAGGGUACUGCCAGGCUAGAGGGUGGGAGAGGAGCGCGGAAUUCCCG
rnacentral:rRNA from 1 species